rnacentral:rRNA from 1 species
GUAGGUGGCAAGCGUUGUCCGGAAUUAUUGGGCGUAAAGCGCGCGCAGGCGGUUCUUUAAGUCUGAUGUGAAAGCCCACGGCUCAACCGUGGAGGGUCAUUGGAAACUGGAGAACUUGAGUACAGAAGAGGAAAGCGGAAUUCCACGUGUAGCGGUGAAAUGCGUAGAGAUGUGGAGGAACACCAGUGGCGAAGGCGGCUUUCUAGUCUGUAACUGACGCUGAGGCGCGAAAGCGUGGGGAGCAAACAGGGAUUAGAUACCCUGGUAGUCCACGCCGUAAACGAUGAGUGCUAAGUGUUAGGGGGUUUCCGCCCCCUUAGUGCUGCAGCUAACGCAUUAAGCACUCCGCCUGGGGAGUACGGCCGCAAGGCUG